AGUGAACGCUGGCGGUAGGCCUAACACAUGCAAGUCGAACGGCAGCACAGUAAGAGCUUGCUCUUACGGGUGGCGAGUGGCGGACGGGUGAGGAAUACAUCGGAAUCUACUUUUUCGUGGGGGAUAACGUAGGGAAACUUACGCUAAUACCGCAUACGACCUACGGGUGAAAGCAGGGGAUCUUCGGAUCUUGCGCGAUUGAAUGAGCCGAUGUCGGAUUAGCUAGUUGGCGGGGUAAAGGCCCACCAAGGCGACGAUCCGUAGCUGGUCUGAGAGGAUGAUCAGCCACACUGGAACUGAGACACGGUCCAGACUCCUACGGGAGGCAGCAGUGGGGAAUAUUGGACAAUGGGCGCAAGCCUGAUCCAGCCAUACCGCGUGGGUGAAGAAGGCCUUCGGGUUGUAAAGCCCUUUUGUUGGGAAAGAAAAGCAGCAGGUUAAUACCCCGCUGUUCUGACGGUACCCAAAGAAUAAGCACCGGCUAACUUCG
rnacentral:rRNA from 1 species